AGCUGGUCUUGGGUGACGCACCCUGGAAUUGGGCUCCCUCCUCUCUGGUUCCAGAUGCAUCAACCGAGAACAGCA
rfam:Myotis brandtii contig228942, whole genome shotgun sequence.